AACCAUUCUCACCUGCGGCUAGACCUGCGGAAGGAUCAUUACCGAGUUAGGGUAGUCACACUGCCCGACCUCCCAACCCUGUGUCUACCAUACCUUGUCGUUGCUUUGGCGGACCGGUUGACCAACUGGUCAUGACCGCCGGGGGCUGGCUCUGUCCCCCCUGGAGAGCGUCCGCCGAUGGCCCAACCACAAAACUCUUGUACCGAAACGUGUCGUCUGAAUUAUGUUUGAGAAAUCAAA
rnacentral:misc_RNA from 1 species